rnacentral:sRNA from 1 species
ACAGCCCCUGGACAAGAAAGCUGCAGUGUCUUGGUUGACCCCUGCCCCUUCAAAAAAGGCUGAUUCUGUUGCUGCUAAAGUAGAUUUGCUGGGGGAGUUCCAGAGUGCCCUUCCAAAGAUCAAUAGCCACCCAACCCGCUCUCAGAAGAGCUCCCAGAAGAAAUCCUCUAAAAAGAACCAUCCUCAGAAGAAUGCCCCACAGAACUCCACCCAAGCUCAUUCAGAGAAUAAAUGCUCCGGAGCAUCCCAGAAGUUGCCACGGAAGAUGGUGGCAAUUGACUGUGAGAUGGUGGGCACAGGACCAAAGGGGCAUGUUAGUUCCUUGGCUCGAUGUAGCAUUGUCAACUACAACGGAGAUGUGCUUUAUGACGAGUACAUUCUUCCCCCCUGCCACAUUGUGGACUACCGAACCAGGUGGAGUGGUAUCCGGAAGCAGCACAUGGUGAAUGCCACACCCUUCAAGAUUGCUCGAGGCCAGAUCUUGAAGAUACUCACAGGGAAGAUAGUGGUGGGGCAUGCCAUCCACAACGACUUCAAAGCCCUUCAGUACUUUCACCCCAAGUCCCUCACCCGUGACACCUCCCAUAUCCCCCCCCUCAACCGGAAGGCUGACUGCCCGGAGAAUGCCACCAUGUCUCUGAAGCAUCUCACCAAGAAGCUGCUAAACCGGGAUAUCCAGGUAGCAUCUCCCCACAUCCCCCACCCCCAUCUUGGACAUGGCUCUCGUUGAUGCCCCUAGCCAGACUCUGAUCUCAGAAGUCCUGUGGUUGUAGAGAUCCAGGUGGGCUGCUGUGAUGGGAAGAGCUCCAUCUGUACACAGGAUAAUAAUUCCUGUUGUCUACCUCAUAGAAUGUUUCACAGUGUGCUUU